GAAGCCAGAGGUCAAGCAAGCACAAGCAAACCUCAAAGAACAAGACACAUGCCUACAAGGUUACAAGAAAUUAUGAUUACAUUAGAUGAUAUGGUCGACGAUGAAGAUGAUAUGGUGCACUAUGCUUUCUAUGAAGAUGUCGAACCAGUCAAUACAUAUAAGGAAUUAAAGGAUUCUGAGUGGGUGAAAGCAAUGAAUGAGGAACUGAA
rnacentral:lncRNA from 1 species